GCCUUCUGUCAGACUGCUGAAGAGGUGACUGAGAGCGGCGACUACACUGCCCAUAAUGCAAAGCACCAGGGGGAGGUUCCAGGGCUGGCCAUAGUUCAUAGCAUUACUCUGCUCAGCAGCUCCAGAAAUGUUCCCAUCCUGAUACAACCUGGACAGUGCUUGAGUCUGGAGAGGCUUAGCCAACUAUGGAUACUGAAGCUAACCACUUGACUAACCGGGACAACCAGCAAUCCUGAAAUUAACUCCUUCAUUGGCUCAGAUGACUAAGUCCUUGUAAUAACCUAUUUACUGCCCUAAAC